GACGAACGCUGGCGGCGUGCUUAACACAUGCAAGUCGAACGGAAAGGCCUGCUUUCCCUUGUGGAUUGCGGGUACUCGAGUGGCGAACGGGUGAGUAACACGUGAGUGAUCUGCCCCCAACUUGGGUAUAAGCCUGGGAAACUGGGUCUAAUUCCCGAUAGGACUGCAGGGUGGUGCCUGUGGUGGAAAACGAUUUUCUAGUGGUUGGGGAUGAGCUCGCGGCCUAUCAGCUUGUUGGUGGGGUAAUGGCCUACCAAGGCGGCGACGGGUAGCCGGCCUGAGAGGGUGGACGGCCACAUUGGGACUGAGAUAAGGCCCAGACUCCUACGGGAGGCAGCAGUGGGGAAUAUUGCACAAUGGGCGGAAGCCUGAUGCAGCGACGCCGCGUGGGGGAUGACGGCCUUCGGGUUGUAAACUCCUUUCGACCGCGAGGAAGCCACCUGGUUGGAAGGGUGGUGACGGUAGUGGUAGAAGAAGCACCGGCUAACUACGUG
rnacentral:rRNA from 1 species